rnacentral:rRNA from 1 species
UAAUGAGAGUUUGAUCCUGGCUCAGGACGAACGCUGGCGGCGUGCCUAAUACAUGCAAGUAGAACGCUGAAGAGAGGAGCUUGCUCUUCUUGGAUGAGUUGCGAACGGGUGAGUAACGCGUAGGUAACCUGCCUUGUAGCGGGGGAUAACUAUUGGAAACGAUAGCUAAUACCGCAUAACAAUGGAUGACACAUGUCAUUUAUUUGAAAGGGGCAAUUGCUCCACUACAAGAUGGACCUGCGUUGUAUUAGCUAGUAGGUGAGGUAAUGGCUCACCUAGGCGACGAUACAUAGCCGACCUGAGAGGGUGAUCGGCCACACUGGGACUGAGACACGGCCCAGACUCCUACGGGAGGCAGCAGUAGGGAAUCUUCGGCAAUGGGGGCAACCCUGACCGAGCAACGCCGCGUGAGUGAAGAAGGUUUUCGGAUCGUAAAGCUCUGUUGUAAGUCAAGAACGGGUGUGAGAGUGGAAAGUUCACACUGUGACGGUAGCUUACCAGAAAGGGACGGCUAACUACGUGCCAGCAGCCGCGGUAAUACGUAGGGUGCGAGCGUUGGCCG